UUACUCUUUGUGCUCACCCCACAGGGUCAC
rnacentral:piRNA from 2 species